rnacentral:rRNA from 1 species
UACAGAGGUCUCAAGCGUUGUUCGGAUUCAUUGGGCGUAAAGGGUGCGUAGGCGGCGCGGUAAGUCGGGUGUGAAAUCUCGGAGCUUAACUCCGAAACUGCAUUCGAUACUGCCGUGCUUGAGGACUGGAGAGGAAUACGAGUUAAUGUGGUAGCGGUGAAAUGCGUAGAUAUCUGGAGGAACACCGGUGGCGAAGGCGGCAUCCUGGACCAACACUGACACUGAGGAGCGAAAGCCAGGGGAGCAAACGGG